AGAGUUUGAUUAUGGCUCAGGAUGAACGCUAGCGAUAGGCCUAACACAUGCAAGUCGAGGGGCAGCACAUGAAGUAGCAAUACGGAUGGUGGCGACCGGCGCACGGGUGAGUAACGCGUAUGCAACCUGCCUACAACAGGGGAAUAACCCGUUGAAAGACGGACUAAUACCCCAUAACACAGGGAUCCCGCAUGGGAAUAUUUGUUAAAGAUUUAUCGGUUGUAGAUGGGCAUGCGUUCCAUUAGCUUGUUGGUGAGGUAACGGCCCACCAAGGCAACGAUGGAUAGGGGAACUGAGAGGUUUAUCCCCCACACUGGUACUGAGACACGGACCAGACUCCUACGGGAGGCAGCAGUGAGGAAUAUUGGUCAAUGGACGCAAGACUGAACCAGCCACGUCGCGUGAAGGAAGACGGCCCUACGGGUUGUAAACUUCUUUUGUAAGGGAAUAAAGUGUAGUACGUGUACUAUUUUGCAUGUACCUUACGAAUAGGGAUCGGCUAACUCCGUGCCAGCAGCCGCGGUAAUACGGAGGAUCCGAGCGUUAUCCGGAUUUAUUGGGUUUAAAGGGUGCGCAGGCGGGAGAUUAAGUCGGCGGUGAAAUUUUGCAGCUCAACUGUAAAAGUGCCUUCGAAACUGGUUUCCUUGAGUGUGGAUGAAGUAGGCGGAAUUUGUGGUGUAGCGGUGAAAUGCAUAGAUAUCACGAGGAACUCCGAUUGCGCAGGCAGCUUACUAAACCAUAACUGACGCUCAGCACGAAGGCGUGGGGAUCAAACAGGAUUAGAUACCCUGGUAGUC
rnacentral:rRNA from 1 species